CCCUUAGAUGUUCUGGGCCGCACGCGCGCUACACUGACGAAGUCAGCGAGCAUGUCCUACGCCGACAGGUGCGGGGAAUCUUGUCAAACUUCGUCGUGAUGGGGAUUGAUUAUUGAAAUUCUUGAUCAUCAACGAGGAAUUCCUAGUAAGCGCAAGUCAGCAGCUUGCGUUGAUUACGUCCCUGCCCUUUGUACACACCGCCCGUCGCUACUACCGAUUGAAUGGCUUAGUGAGAUCUUCGGAUUGGCGCCACUGCGGCUCAGCAAUGGGCUCGGUGGAUGCCGAAAAGUUGAUCAAACUUGAUCAUUUAGAGGAAGUAAAAGUCGUAACA
rnacentral:rRNA from 1 species